GAGCUGCCCCGUUCUCGCCUCUGGGAAGCCGCGGUGGGCGCCUGUGGCAGGGGUCUCUUGGGUGUCAGCGGCGCAGGGGCAGUGAGCGUGGAGGGUGCGCAGCGCAGCGGCGGUCAGCAGCGCGGAGUAGAGAUUGCCUUGCCACCGCCGCUGCGUUAGGAGGCGGGAUCUGCGCUUGUGCAGAAGCUUGCUCAUUGCUUUACUUUUGCAGCCCGGGGCAGGGACAUUAUGCCGAAGAGAAAGUCUCCAGAGGGUGCUGAGGGCAAGGAUGCAGCAAAAAUAACUAAACAAGAGCCCACAAGACGAUCGGCAAGAUUGUCAGCUAAACCUGCUCCACCAAAACCUGAACCCAAGCCAAGGAAAACCACAAAGGAACCUGGAACAAAGGCUAACAAAGGUGCUAAAGGAAAGAAGGAUGAAAAACAAGAAGCUGCAAAGGAAGGUACUACACCAUCUGAAAAUGGUGAAAAUAAAGCUGAAGAGAUUCGCAUCUCUCGCUCAACUGUUAGUGUUUCAACAUCCAGAGGUGCCCCACCCAGCACACUGUCAGUAAAAGGGCAGAUUGAAACAGUGAAAGUUAAGGGUACGGUAGAGCAUUCUGCAUGUGUGCAGUGAAUAGAAACAGAUAGUAGUGUGGUGCUUUUCAUUAUGAACAAUGGAAGCUGGCAGGCACAGAGAACUGAAUCUGUAGGUGACAAGAGCGAAUGAAUUGUCAUGAAAAUUUUGGGUUGAUUUUAUGUACCUCUUGGACAACUUUUAAAAGAUAUUUUUAUCAAGUAUUUUGUAAAUGCUAAUUUUUUUAGGACGAUGAUAGUUGACAUACUAAACUGUAUAGGAACAUAUCCCUUCUCGUAACCAUGCUUUUAGAAAUUCCCAUUGCUGCCAAGUAAUAUAAAUAUCAAUUUAGCAUUGGAAGAUGUGUGUCAAAUUGGAUAAGCAUUCCAUACACUUGCUUUAAGAAAUUAAGUCUCGUACAUAUGGUGAUGGUUUUUACUGUGUGUAUUUGAAUUUUUCAUGCAGUUUUUCUAGAGCAAUAAUCAGUGGUGCUUUUGUACUUAGGGUUUAUGUGAUUUUAAUGAAACAUGGAUAGAUGUGGCCACCUGCUGACUAUUUUGGGUUCUAUUAAUGGAUUAAAAUAAAAGAUCUCCUUGCCUGCAAAUCUACAGCCUCCUAAUGUUUUCUCUAAAUCUGAGGAAUGCCUGACUCAUUUUUUUAACUAUUGUGUGGAAGACUAAAUGGUUUAGCAACUAUUGUGUUCUGCAUGCACUACGUUUGAUGCUUUUUGCUGGUCUCUGAUAAACAUAUUUAAAUGUCCACAUAUGAGUAACAGGUCAAGAUUUUCAAUGGUCCACAUAUUAAUGGCCUUCUCAAUAUGAAUCAGUGUAUUCGUUUUUACUAUCACAGUUGAAUAGAUUUUGUUUUACUGUACCAGUAUAACAUACAGUGAGAUACCAAGACAGAAUGAAUUGCUUGAUUGAAGCAAAUGUACAGUAACUGAAAGGCAUUCAGGAGCAGCUUUACUUCCUCUCUCCCUGCCCCUCCUUCCCCCCCCUUCAUCUAAUACAGGAGUUUUUAAUUUCUGCAGCUUAUUACAUGGAACUCUUGAUUCUAUCUGCUGCCCCAAAUUUAACAUAAAAUAGUAAUAGCUGUUCUACUUCAGCAGAGGACAGUUGUAAAUUUACUGCAAUUGCUGUUAAACAGCACUAUACUUGGUAUGUGGUAGAGAUGAAACAAUUAAAGUAUUUUUGAGGGGCUUGUGGUGGUGUUAAAUUAGCUAAUGAUCUUUAGUACCUAUAUAUUACAGCUCUUCAGCUCAUUAUAAGCGCCUUUGAUAGUUUUCUCUUUAUCCUCAUCUGGAACUCUAGUAUUUCUAUUGUUUGUGGGGGUGGGAAGGUAAGAAAGAAAUGUUCCCUGUUCAGUAACAUUUUAUUUGUAUUGCUGAAGUGGUGGCCAUUAUGUCUGGGGAUACUUUUGUUUGUUUCAGUCAAUAAAUAAAUGACUGUAUUGCUUGA